ensembl:lncRNA
AGGACAAGCACUGGGAGGUUGUGGACUUCUCUAAGAGCAGGAUCAUGCAGUUUAAGAAAAUCAUCCCACUGAUCACAGACCUUAGAAAUCCAGCCAUGAGAGAGAGGAUAUUGCCCUCUGUUGCUUGUGACCUGAGGUGUGCUGUAAAGUCUAGCUGAUAAUCAUCAGCGGCAGAGAGCGUUUGUGCACUCUGGCGCCAUCCCUGCCGAGAGAAACGCGACGUUUUCCACUCUUCGUUUUUCUUCUGGCCUGUCAUUCGCCCCCUAAGCCAUCUGAUUGGAUCUGGCAUUCCCAAAACAACAGCCCAUCGGCCCCAAUCAGGCGUGCUACAACAGCCCUGGUGGAGACGGCAGAGACAGGUCUCACGUUCCCCUGAUGACAGCCGGCUAAUCACACUGAUGUAACCCUCUGAAAGAUCCCUGUUAGCGUCUCCCGCUGGCCGGUGCAGCACAUCAGGGAAGCAGAUGAAAAUAAAUAGAGCUCCAGCCUCAGAAGUCCAUGACCGAUAGAACGGGAGACAAGAGGAGCGAAAGAAAAACAGGCACUCGUAGGAGAGAUCGCGUCCCAGAAUGCUCGGGCCCGAUCUCAGAGGGGCGAGUCAUUGGCAGGAUGUUUUUUUGAAAUAGCGGUGUUGUGUUUUGUUGUGGAUCAGAUGUACUGAUGGUCUCUGUGGAUUUCUUUGAGAGAAGACAACAAGCUGUGCAUCAUGGCUGCCGGAUCUCUCACGGGAGAAAUCAAUCCUUGCGCUGUCGUCGCCCGUCACACCUGUUUAUUAUGACAAAAUCUGACCGUCAACAUGACCAGUCUUUUGUACCAGAACAGCGCAGUGGACUGUUUUUCUUCAGCUCUUGAAAUACUCCAAAUAACACAUUGUCUGUAAUUUU